ACGGCAUGAUGGGGACAUUUUUUGAUGAGAACCUUCAAUCGUUCCCAUGAUUCAUGAAACUGCUCACCAUCUUGUUGAGAGAAGCUAGUGAGAGCUCGUCUUAUCU
rfam:Cephalotus follicularis DNA, scaffold: scaffold230, isolate: St1.